UUGGACUUUGACUCUGAUUCUUGUCGGGCCUCAGGGCACUGAUGAUCGGGCCUGGGGGCCGCCUCCUCAGGGUCACGGUCAACAGCACCUCCUGUUGGCGGGGGUGCCGGGUGUUCCUCUGAGCCGGGCCGGGACCGGAACCCCUCCUUCCCCACCACAUCACCCCAGCAUGGCUGCUACAGGAGCCCGGCAGUGAAGGGCCUGAGCCCCAGAUUUGGAAGCUCCAACUGGGGUACAGGGAGAGCAGGUAGGAGGUAGUGAAAAAGAUUCUUCCAGACCCAGCUCAGAGCACUAAGCCCUUUGGAAGAAUCAUUGCCAGGGGUGGGGGUGGUGUUGCCCAGGCCAGAGAUGGCAGCAUGGGCCCCGAACCAGCCUGCUCAGGGCUGUGGACUGAUGGGCAGAGAUAAUGUUCUUUCUCUAGCCUGGGACACCCAACUGGCUGGGUCCUUCCUCAGCCCCGCCUCCCUUCCAUCCCCAACCCUUCGCCGCUCCUCCUGCUUCUGGACUGCUGCUCCCCUCUCCUCCCCUCCUAACUGUUUCUAGUUACCGCUGACCUGUGGCCAUGGACCGACCAAACCAGCACACAAAAUAAAAGUUUGUUCCAAGUUGACGGUGUCCCGUUCCCUGCCCAGCCCCUCCAGGUGGAGGUGCGGCCACGGGGAACUCCGUUGCUCUGCCUGCCCUAGAGCCCCCGGCUGCGGGCCGGGCCGGGAGGGGCCCAGCUUCUCCUGUCAGGCAGGCGUGGCUUCAAAACCCAGACUCCUCCGCCAGCUGUGACACAGGACAAGUUGCCAUCCUCUGAACCUCAGUUUCCUCAUCCACAGCAAGAGGUAAAUGCCUGCAUCAGCUUGUUGCGAGGAUUCCGCGAGAGAACGUGUGUGAGGCCCUGACGUGCCCGGCGUGUGGGCGGUACCCGGUGAAUAAUGGGCCUCACACCGCUUCCCACCCACGCCGGCUCCCACGUCCAUAGCGGAGGCCGCAAGCUGGGCAACAGGCUCAAGAGGAGAAAUGUGGCAUGGACACGCCUCUGCUGUGUAGCUGGGGCUGUGCCAGGCAUUUCCCUCGCUUCAUGGUCUUUGAUGUUCGCAGCUACCAUCCAUGAGGGCGGUGGCGGUAGUUACGUUUCUGUGGUUAAGGACGCUGGAGCUCAGGAGAGCAGUGCCCCCAGCCCCCAGUCAUUCCAGUCACCCACUCCAGCGUGUCCUUCAGCCUGUCCUAGUCCCGUUGUCUGCUGGCUGUUUCCCUCUUGCAGUUUGACUCCGGUGCUGCUUACGGGGCCGUUGCCCAGUGGUGCCCGUGUAAGAGAAGCUCCAGCGUUGAGCAGCACCCUGUGCUCUGUCCCCACGGUGGGUGCUGUGGAAUUUGUGUUUCCGCAGGACUCGGCCAUGGGGGACCUUGGAACAGGCAGAACCACACUUUGUUGGAACUCUUCUGCCGCCGUGAGCAUAACCACUUCCUUUACAUUUCGAAGCUGUGGCCUCCACCCUGGCCUCUGCCUUCAGACACUCAGCUGUGACGGGGCCCCCCCCUGGGCCAGGUGCCAUGGUCAGGAUGAGAGGCGUGUGUUGAGUCCAGCUGGGCAACCACCCCUGGCCCUUGGAGCUGCUCACUGGAGGCACUGA
rnacentral:lncRNA from 1 species